CAACGUGGUGCACCCCUCCCAGGUGUUGCUCUAUAGGAGAAAGCCCUGCUUCCAGCUGUUUGCUUUGAAAUUCUUGGAAGAGUAAGUCCUGCGUAUUGUGACCAUAAUGUAUGUGUAGGUAUGUACUGCAGGACCAAAUUGGAGAGAGUUGGUCCAUGUAAUGCAUUGUUGUUUAGCAGUAACACCUUGAAAUCAGCCCUAGCCUUAAUAGGAUUCCAGUGUAGAGAGGCUAGCACAGGAUUAAUAUGAUCACAUUUUUGUAUUCUAAUCAAGAUUCUGACUCAACUACACUCUCACAGUUCAAAGACAAGGAGAUAUGGCCUCACCAAAGACAGUUUGGUACUUAAGUGUCCUCUUGGUAUUUUGCUCUAGUCUGGAAAAACAAGAUUGCUUGGAAACUCCAAAUGUAACAUCAGAGGAAUCACCCACUGAUGGAUCACAAGUUCCUUCAGGAAAAAAGCGAGAGGGUGAGUCAGCU